rnacentral:lncRNA from 1 species
GCGCCUGCUGCGCGGGGCGGGACGCGGACUCCCAGGCUCUGCGGAGAGCGGCUGCCACUCGCCUCUGUUUUUUUCUUGAGACCUAGUCUGGCUCUGUGGCUCAGGCUGGAGUGCAGUGGCGUGAUCACCGCUCACUGCAGCCUCAGCCUCCUCUCGCCUCAGCCGCUCGGUAGCUGGGACCACCAGCGGGCGCCACCACUCCCGGCUACAUUUUUUUGUAUUUUUAGUAGAGACGUGGGUCUCGCCAUGUUGGCUAGGCUGCUGCCGAACUCCGGGGCUCAAGCGAUCCGCCCGCCUGGGCCUCCCAAAGUGCUGAGACUGCAGGCAUGAGCCACCGCGCCCGGCCGAGAGCCUCUUUUGGCUCCUCCUUUCGCCUUUCCGGGGCCAGGCGUGUGCAGCUCUGUGAAGGGUCCCCUCCCUCUGCGGGACGUCCUCGCUGCCGAGGUCAGAGGUGCGGAGAACAUGAGACCCGAGUCUCAACUGCUUCUUACCAAUAUUAAUUCCAGUGACUACUAUCAGAAUAUGAUGAGCAAUCCACUCAUCAGAGAAGCUGUUUCUACACUCUCCUGAAUGACCAUUUUAUAGAUGCUGGGAAAAAAUUGUAUUAAAGACUAUGAGUUAGCUGGGCUUGGUGGCUCACGCCUGUAAUCCCAGCACUUUGUGAAGCCAAGGCGGGAGCAUCGAUUGAGCCUAGCAGUUCAAGACCAACCUUGGCGGCAUAAGCGAGACCCUGUCUCUACAAAAAUUUUAAAAUUAGCCAGGUGUGGUGGUGUGCACCUAUAAUCUUAGCUACUUGGGAAGCUGAGGUGGGAGGAUUACUCAGCCUAGGAGGUUGAGGUUACAGUGAGCUGGGAUCACACCACUGCCCUUCAGCCUGGGUGACAGAGCAGGACCCCGUCUCUUAAAAAAAAAAAAAAAAGUGGUGGACUUUGUUAUCCUUAUGCAUAUGACUCAUCAAUAUAUCUGUAUUUCCAUAUAGAAAGAACACUUAGACCGGGCACAGUGACUCACGCCUGUAAUCCCAGCACUUUGGGAGGCCAAGGCUGGCGGAUCACUUGAGGCCAGGAGUUCCAGACCAGCCUGGCUAACAUGGCAAAACCCUGUCUCUACUAAAAAAUACAAAAAUUAGCCUGGUAUGGUGGCACACGCCUGUAAUCCCUGCUACUCCGGAGGCUGAGGAAUGAGAAUAGUUUGAACCUGGGAGGUGGAGGUGGCAGUGAAUCAAGAUUGCUUCACUGCACUCCAGCCUGGGCGACAGAGUGAGACUCCAUUUCAAGAAAUAGAUAACUAAAUAAAUAAAAUAAAAGAGAACACUUAGAAAGGAACAUGCUAUAGCAAACUAAAAUUAUAGAUGUCAAAAAUUUAAUCUGGAUUACCCAGCAUCUCCUAUAAGAAACAAAG